AUUCAACUAGCAUAAAUGUCACUGCUUCACCAUUCCAGCUCAGCAACCACAUCUGGUUAUUUGCACAUGUUGGUCACUUACAGGUCUCUGCCUUAGUUCCUACUGACUAUAGCUAUUUGCCUGAAAGCAGUUUUAUUGGAGCAGCUAUUGGCUUUUUCAUUACAGGAGGAAAAAAAGUCUUGCUCUGACGCCCAGGCUAGAGUGCAGUGGCGUGAUCUCGGCUCACUGCAACCUCUGCCUCCCAGGCUCAAGUGAUUGGCCUGCCUCAGCCUCCUGAGUAGCUGGAAUUACAGAUCCUUUGAUGCUAGAAGGAAAGAAGGAAUUGUUGGCAUUUUCUACUUCCAUGAUGGUAUGCAGGUGUUUUACUAUUAUUUUUCACUUUCUGUUUUAGGUCCUGAAUCUGUGCCUCCUUCCCUUCUUGAAGUAGUGAUGAAACCCAUAGCAACUGUUGGAGAAAGCUACCAAUAUCCUCCUGUGAACUGGGCUGCACUUCUCUCUCCACUUAUGAGGCUAAAUUUUGGUGAAGAGAUCCAGCAACUGUGCCUUGAAAUUAUGGUGACCCAGGCACAGUCAUCCCAGAAUGCAGCUGCACUAUUGGGCUUGUGGGUGACACCACCACUGAUCCACAGUCUGAGUCUGAAUACCAAGAGAUAUCUCCUGAUAUCUGCACCU
rnacentral:sRNA from 1 species